UGUGGCUUUGGUUUGUAUGUUCUUUUUCGGGUCGACCAGACCCGUGAUGCGCGAUAGGCGGCGGCACCAGGAGACUCGCCCGCAGUUCUCUGGAGGUGUUUCCCCCAGUAUCGCUGCUGGUGGGGAGUUGUAUUCAUCCCAGGUUCAUCUCACCUCUCCUGUUACCCACCUCACAAACCUGCAACAUGUUAGUAUGCUGCGACCCCUGCUGGCAGGUUGGCUUGACAUUACAAUGGCAAUGUCGGACUCUGGUAAAUGACAGGAAAAAUCUGGCUUCUCUUAAGCCACAUUAAACUCAACAACAACAGCAGGACGGAUGUUAAUCAUCAUCAAGAUCAUCUCAGUCACAGCGGACGCCUGGAGUGCAUUGGUUCCAGUGAGCAGUGAAUGCAGUGACCUCCCAGCGGGUGGCGCUCUCCAUGGUUUCGGCCACCAUGAAAGCAGCAGUGGAUGCAGUAUGGGCAGUGUGGAGCAUCGUAGCCUCCAUUUAUGACUACAUUCACACUAAAGCGAUGGAAGAGCGCAUCCACGCCCUGGAGCAUGUCAUCACCAUUCACCAGUGUGUGAUUGGGCUGCUGUCUGCUGGUAUACUGGUGCUCUUCACUUACAUCCUAAUGAAGAAGGUCUGAAUGGGUGACAGGAAGUCAGACUGCAGCGUUGCUCAUGAAGGCGGACACAGAAGGGAAGUUCCUUCUUUGGAUAUUCCUGUACUGACGUACAAGAGCUGAAGGGUACUGGUAUUUAUUAAUGGUUUGGUCAAUAUGGAGAUUGUAGUGGGCCAACUGUACAUGGGCACAAGGUCUGUUCACUGACAAUUAAAAUGUCAUCUACUGUAUAUGCUUUUUCAAAAGGUACGUAGUAAAAAUAAGUGCCUAAUUAGGUGGAGCACAGGGUGUAGCUGUUAAGGCCAGUCCAAAUAGUUAUUCAGUCUGCUCUCAGUUUUCAUCUGUAACUGACGUUCUUUUUCCAGUCCUGUGCGUUGAAAUCGCUAAAAUUUGUAACAUGUCUGUUCAUCCAUCUUCCAAAGAAGGUUCGUCUUGACACCUGCCUUAAAACAGACUUUGUUUUACAUUAAGUCUGAUAAUUAUACAUUAUCAGACUUCUAUAGCUUUGACGUACAGUGAAGAAAUUCAUUUGGACCACGUCUCUCUACGGCUCAGCAUAUCACCUACCUCCAUCACGCCCUUCCACUUGCUUCUUUUCUUGCGCUGCAACCAUUACCAUGUCUUUCCUCACAUUGUCCAGUGUACCAUGUCUCCUCAACCUUCCAGCUGCGUUAAUCUCUCCAAACCUCUUUAAAUUUCAGUUGUCUGUUGGUGAUGAUGAUUUGUUGAUGCUGUCCACCCAUGUCACUCCUCAUGAUAUUGACAUCAUCUUUAACUCGUCCACCUCCAGCUCAUCACAGUCUUUCAUACGGUGCCGUCUCCAAACUCAUUAGCGUCCUUUAAACAUGCUAUUUUACUGUUACUGACCCACAUCUGUUGUCCACCCCCGGCCCUUUAUCCUCUACCAUAAAAUUGCUUAUUUUGUAACAUUUUGUUGUGGUGUAAAUCUAAUGCAGGACUAGGAUCAGACGUCUGCCAUCACUGUCCAUGUGUGAAAUGUUUUUCAUGCAGAGGUAAUAAAACUGUUUACAUUAAGGUAUACCAAGUCUGGAGACUAUUUCUCAUCCACUUGGUAUUAUUGGAAA